UGAGCUCAUUCAUCCAUUCAUUUAUAAACUGUAGGUGAAGGAAUUUCUUGAUCCCGGUAUUGGCUGAAAGCUUGCAUGAUAUUUUUUUUUAUUUUUGUGUGAUUUAAAGAUCUCCGAGAGGGCAAAGCUGGAAGUUGCCAGCUUCAGUGAUUUCCGCCAGAAGAAUAACAUCACUGAACAAACAGCAAAGCAGUGGGUGUGUGAUGUUCAGCAGUGGGCACUCACAGAGCCAGGGAGCACAACAGAACAGGGAGCAACAGAGGACCUCAGGGCUGAGAUAGAGAGCAUCAUAGUGGCCCUGCUACGCAAGAAGCAGGACCUCUAUCGUCAGCAUGAUAGCAACCAGACAAGACAGAGAAAAAGAAGAAAAAUAAGAGAAUUAAAAAAAAAAAUGAAACAAAAGAUCCUGCUGUACAAUGCUAGUGCAGAGGACACAAUUGACGAGGAGUUGGCCUCAAAUUUGACAGAGGACUACAUCCUGCCUUGGGAGAGAC